GCAAUGAUAUGGGAAAUGAUGAUGCCAUUGGAGGGAAUGUGAGCAAAUAUAUAGUGCUUCCAACUGGCUAUUGUGGACUGCCCAAGAAAGGACAUCUUAUCUUUGAUGCUUGCUUUGAAAGUGGUAACCUGGGCCGGGUGGACCAGGUCUCUGAGUUUGAGUAUGAUCUGUUCAUUAGGCCGGACACUUGUAAUCCACGCUUCCGAGUCUGGUUCAACUUUACUGUUGAAAAUGUGAAAGAAUCACAGGAAAUCUUAUUGAUAACUGAAGUGAAAACUAAGAGCUUGGGCAUAUCCUGGAUGUAAUGAAUUAGGCCCCGUGACAGCAAUGGAAGAAAGUCUGCAGGUUAAUGGUAAAUUGAGGCUUAUGACCCAGCAUCUAAUAAAAGCUUAUUUAAUGUUUUUGAUUAAAUGAAUGAGUAAGUUGGGCCUGCUCCCAAGCCCUAAGCCCUGAGGUCAGGGUGUUAUAAGCCUUUUUCUAAAUACCAAUUUCUGAUACGGAUAGGGCUUUUCAUGUACAUGCUUGAUGUUCACGGGCUUGAUGACUGGGUGGGACUAAGAUAUAAGGUGCAGGUCUCCGGUACCUGCCACUUGGUAAGGUCACGGACCUUGAGGAAUGGUCAUG
rnacentral:sRNA from 1 species